UACGUAGGGUGCAAGCGUUAUCCGGAAUUAUUGGGCGUAAAGAGCUCGUAGGCGGUUUGUCGCGUCUGCUGUGAAAACUGGAGGCUCAACCUCCAGCCUGCAGUGGGUACGGGCAGACUAGAGUGCGGUAGGGGAGAUUGGAAUUCCUGGUGUAGCGGUGGAAUGCGCAGAUAUCAGGAGGAACACCGAUGGCGAAGGCGGGUCUCUGGGCAGUAACUGACGCUGAGGUGACGAAAGCCAGGGGAGCAAACGGG
rnacentral:rRNA from 1 species